rnacentral:rRNA from 1 species
CAGGACGAACGCUGGCGGCGUGCCUAAUACAUGCAAGUCGAACGCACUGACGUCGACAGAAGGUGCUUGCACUGGAAGUUGAUUGACGUGAGUGGCGGACGGGUGAGUAACACGUGGGUAACCUGCCCUUAAGCGGGGGAUAACAUUUGGAAACAGAUGCUAAUACCGCAUAAAAGUUGAGAUCACAUGGUCUUAAUUUGAAAGACGGCCUUUGGCUGUCACUUAAGGAUGGACCCGCGGCGUAUUAGCUAGUUGGUGAGAUAAUAGCCCACCAAGGCGAUGAUACGUAGCCGACCUGAGAGGGUAAUCGGCCACAUUGGGACUGAGACACGGCCCAAACUCCUACGGGAGGCAGCAGUAGGGAAUCUUCCACAAUGGACGAAAGUCUGAUGGAGCAACGCCGCGUGAGUGAAGAAGGUUUUCGGAUCGUAAAACUCUGUUGUUGGAGAAGAACAGGGACUAGAGUAACUGUUAGUCCUUUGACGGUAUCCAACCAGAAAGCCACGGCUAACUACGUGCCAGCAGCCGCGGUAAUACGUAGGUGGCAAGCGUUGUCCGGAUUUAUUGGGCGUAAAGCGAGCGCAGGCGGUCUCUUAAGUCUGAUGUGAAAGCCUUCGGCUUAACCGAAGAAGUGCAUCAGAUACUGGGAAACUUGAGUGCAGAAGAGGAAAGUGGAACUCCAUGUGUAGCGGUGAAAUGCGUAGAUAUAUGGAAGAACACCAGUGGCGAAGGCGGCUUUCUGGUCUGUAACUGACGCUGAGGCUCGAAAGUAUGGGGAGCGAACAGGAUUAGAUACCCUGGUAGUCCAUACCGUAAACGAUGAAUGCUAAGUGUUGGAGGGUUUCCGCCCCUCAGUGCUGCAGCUAACGCAUUAAGCAUUCCGCCUGGGGAGUACGACCGCAAGGUUGAAACUCAAAGGAAUUGACGGGGGCCCGCACAAGCGGUGGAGCAUGUGGUUUAAUUCGAAGCUACGCGAAGAACCUUACCAGGUCUUGACAUCUAGCGCCAAUCCUAGAGAUAGGACGUUCCCUUCGGGGACGCUAAGACAGGUGGUGCAUGGUUGUCGUCAGCUCGUGUCGUGAGAUGUUGGGUUAAGUCCCGCAACAAGCGCAACCCUUAUGAUUAGUUGCCAGCAUUUAGUUGGGCACUCUAAUCAGACUGCCGGUGACAAACC